CUUUGUAUUCUUCCACGGCUUUCUUGAACUGCAUUUCAUUAUCUGAUCUUUCUCUUCUUCCAAUUAUAUCUUUUUACAAUACAUACAUAUAUAUAUAUAUAUAUAUAUAUACGUAUUCCUCUUGCUAUGAAUUUCAAUGGCUGCAGUUCAAUAAAGCUGUGGGAAGAUACAAUA
rnacentral:pre_miRNA from 1 species